rnacentral:lncRNA from 1 species
GUCAGUAAGAUUCAGACUCUUUAUUUGAAUUAAUUUAAUUUAUUAUUUUAAUAUGGAAGCCCCAGUCCUCUUCCUUCUUCUUCUUUUUUUUUUUUGCAAUUUUUACAAUUGAAGUAGAAUCAAUAUACAAUAAAAUAUAUCUCAAAUAAACAGCUUGAUGAGUUUUGAAAAUGCAACCACCCACAUCAUUAACCCACAAAUCAGGACAUAGAACAUGUCCAUCACCCUAGAAAGCCCACCCUAUCUCCAGUCAAUGGACCCCUCCCCUCUAGAGGCUGACGCUGCUCUGACUCACAUCCCCAUGGGUUGGCUUUGCCUGCCCUAGACCUUCACAAGAAUAGAAUCAUUUUGUGUGUGUCUGACAGCCUUCACCAAGUAAGAGGUUUCUCCACAGGGCUCCCUCCUUGGCUUGGCUUGUGGAUGGCUGCCUUUUGCUGCGUCCUCACAGGGCAUGUCCCUGUGUGCACAUAUCCCUGGUGUCUCUUUCUCUUCCUGUAAGGUUCCCCAGUCAUAUGGGAUUAGGGCUCCACCCAUACAACCUCAUUUAACCUUAAUCACCUAACCUUAAUCAUGUAACCUUAAUCACCAAGGGUCCUAUUUCCAAAUACUGUCACAUUCUAAGGUACUGGGGAUUGGGCUUUAACAUAGGAGUUUUGGAGGGAUGCAAUUUAGUUCAUAACAGAGUGAUAUGGUUUGGCUGUGUCUCCGCCCAAAUCUCAUCUUGAAUUGCAGCUCCCAUAAUCCCCACCUGUCGUGGGAGGGGUGCAGAGGGAGGUAAUUGAAUUGUGGGGGUGGGGUUUUCCCAUGCUGUUCUUGUGAUAGUGAAUAAGUCUCAUGAGAGCUGAUGGUUUUAUAAAGGGGCCUUCCCCGCACACACUUUCCUGCCUGCUGCCAUGUAAGAUGUGUCUUUGCUCCUCCUUCACCUUCUGCUGUGAUUGUGAGGUCUCCCCAGCCAUGUGGAACUCUGAGUCCAUUAAACCGCUUUCCUUUAUAAAUUACCCAAUCUCAGGUGUGUCUUUAUUGGCAGUGUGAGAACAGAUAAAUACACACAAACAUUUAGAAACUGUUAAUUUCUAAAUGUCUUUCCUCAUUGAUAGUUUUUGAUGAUUUUCUAACUUCAUCUUUCCUUCCAUAUUUAUUAGUUUUAAUUCUUCUGAAGGAAGAACUUUCCCUUCUCCACAUUUAUUUCUUUAUUCAUUUCAGCAUAGAUGUGGAUUUCUCUUAUAUUCAAUGGGUUGAAACUCAUUACUAUCAUUAUUUAUCUUUGUGCUCUAAUUAUCCUGAAUUUGGCCAGUGGUAGCUUCUUUCAUCUGGUUCCUGUUUUUUUGGCAAGUGCUCAUAAUUUUUUUCAUAGAUUUUAUAUUUUAGAGCCAUUUUAGACUCAUUGCAAAAUUGAGUUGGAAGCUCUGAGGUCCCAUAUACCCCCUGCCCCCACACACAUAAUCCCCCUGCCCAUUAUCAAAAUUCUGCACCACAUGGACGUGUUUUCUGAGCACUUCCUCCAGAUAUUUGUGCUUGUUUUUAUUCCCCAGUACCUUCAAAAUUCUUUAUUAUGUCCAGGUUUUACAAUUGUUUUCUGUAGGGUGUGUGUAGGGGUGGGAGUGUUUCAGUAGGGUAUUGCCUCACCACGCCUGAAAGCAGAAAUCCCACGCCUAUCUUUUAUUAUCUGGAGUGGAGAUGUUUCAUUUUAAUUAGGGGGUUUAGUCUACUUGCAGUUAAUAAAAUGAUUGAUACGGUUGGGUUCAAGUUUACUAUCUUACUGCUGGUUUUCUAUUUACCCCCUUUUAUUUGUUCUUUGCUUUCUUCUUCCAUACCUUCGUUUGAGUUAUUUGGGGGUUUUUUUGUAUUCCAUUUUAUUUCCUUUUAUGGGUUUUCAGCUAUACUUCUUUGUAUUAGUUUUACUUGUUUCUGCAGGCUUACAAUAUGCAUUCUUAACACAUAAUGGUCCAAUGGGAAUGAAUGUUAUGCCAUCUCACGUAUAAGCUAAGAUGCAGCAGUAUAAUUCCAUUUCUUCCCUCCCAUCCUCUGAAUUAUUGCUGCCAUAAAUCUUACUUCAGUAAGUGACAAGCCCUAUUGUUCACCCAUUGAACAAUCAAUUGUCUUUUAAGGAAUUAGAAAAAUACAAUUUUCCAUUUAUGCACAUAGUAACGAUUUCCAACGCUCUGCAUUCCUCUCUGCACAGCACAACUUUCACUCAUUAUCAUGUCCCUUCGGACUGAAGAAAUUCCUUUAGCAUUUCUUGUAGUGCAAGUCUGUUGGCAAAGAAUCUUCCUGUAUUUCAUUUCCCCAAGAAUGUCAUUAUUUCUCUCUCAUGUUUAUUAGACUUUACUUUUUUUAUUUUUUAGAGCUGUUUUAGUUUCACUGGAAAAUUGAGCAGACGGUACAGAGAAGGUACAUACACCUCCUGAGCACCCCUCACGUGCCCAGCCUCCCACAUUAUCAGCAUCCCCCACCAGAGUGGUCCACUCGUUACAACUGAUGAACCUACAGUGACACAGCAUUCCACCCAUAGUGUAUGUUACGGUCCACUCGUGAUGUUGUACAUUCUAUGCAUUUGGGCAAAUUUAUAAUAACACUAUAGUAUAUAAUAACCACUAUAGUAUCAUACUGAACAUUCACUGCCCUAAACAUCCUCUGUGCCUCACCCACUCAUCUCUCCCUCCCUCCUACCCCCUGCUAUUGAUACUGUCUCUAUAGUUUGCCCUUCCCAGGGUGUCAUAUAGUUAGAAUCACACAGUAUGUAACCUUUUCAGGGGACUGGCUUCUUUCACUUAGUGAUACGCAUUUAAGCUUCCUCCAUGUCUUUUUAUGAUAGCUCAUUUCUUUUUAGCACUAAAUAAUAUUCCAUUGUCUGAAUAUACCACAGUUUAUUUAUCCAUUCACCUCCUGAAGGACAUCUUAGCUGCUCUCGAGUUUUGGUAAUUAUGAAUAAAGAGUCUAUAAAUAUCCAUGUGAAGGUUUUGCAUGGACAUAACUUUUCAACUCCUGUGAGUAAAUUCAACGUGAUUGCUGAAUUGUGUGGUAAGAGUGUGUUUAGCAUUGUAAGAAAGUGUCAAACUGUCUUCCAGAGUGACUGUAGCAUUUUGCAUUCCCGCAGCAAUGAAUGAGAGUUCCCGUUGCUCCACAUCCUCAGCAGCAUGUGGUGUUGUCGGUGUUCUGGAUUUUGGCCAUUUUAAUAGGCGUGUAGAGGUAGCUGGUUGUGGUUUUAAUUUGCACUUCUCUGACAAUGUUGAGCAUCAUUUAAUUAUGCUUACUUGCCAUCUGUAUAUCUUCUUUGGUGAGGUGUCUAUUAAGGUCUUUGGCUCAUUUUAAAAAUAAAGUUGUUCAUUUUCUUAUUAUUGAGUUUUGAGAGUUCUUUGUAUAUUUUGAAUAAAAGACAUUUAUCAGAUAUAUCUUUUGAAAAUAUUUUCUCCUAGUCUGUGACUUUUCUUCUUAUUCUCUUGAGAAUGCCUUUUGCAGAGCAGAAAUUUUUUAUUUUUAUUUUUUUGAGACAGGGUCUCACUCUGUCACCCAGGCUGGAGGGCAGUGAUGCAAUCAUAGCUCACUGCAGCUUUUAACCCCUGGGUUCAAGUGAUCCUCCUGCCUUAGCCUCCUGGGACUUCAGGCAUACACCACCAUGCCUGGCUAAUUUUAAAAAUUUUAAUAGAGAUGAAAUCUCACUAUGUUGCCCAAGUUGGGAAUUUUUUUAUUUUAGUGAAGUCCAACUUAUGAUUUUUUUUCUCUCAUGGGCCAUGCUUUUGGGGUCAUAUCUAAAAAGUCAUCUCCAAACCUAAGGUUAUUGAAGUUUUCUCCUGUGUUAUCUUCUAGUAGUUUGACAGUUUUGCAUUUUACACUUAAGUCUGUGAUCGUUUUGAGUUAAUUUUUGUGAAGGAUGUAGGUCUGUAUCUAGAUUUAUUAUUUUGCAUGUGGAAGUAGAGUUCUUUCAGCACCAUUUGUUGAAAGAAUUGUUUUUCUUCGUUGUAUUGCCCUUGCUUCUUUCAAAGAUCAGUUGACUACAUUUGUGUGGGUCUGCUUCUGGGCUGUCUAUUCUGUUCCACUAAUUGACUUGUCUAUUCUUUUACCAAUACCACACUGUCUUGAUUACUAUAGCUGUAUAGUAAGUCUUGAAGUCAGGUAGUAUCAUUCCUCCAACUAUGUUCUUCUCCUUUAACAUCAUGUUGGCUAUCUUGAUCUGUUGCUUUUCCAUAUAAACUUUAGAUUCAAUUUGUUGAUACCCACAAAAUAACUUGCUAGGAUUUUUAAUGGAUAACAUUAAAACUACAGAUCAGUUUGGGAAGAGCUGACAACAAUCCAUGAACAUGGAAUAUCUCUCCAUUAUUAUUAUUAUUAUUUUUUAUUUUUUUGAGACAGAUUCUCAAUCUGUCACCCAGGCUGGAGUGCAGUGGUGCAAUCUUGGCUCACUGCCACCUCUGCCUCCCAGGUUCAAGUGAUUCUCCUACUUCAGCCUCUUGAGUAGCUGAGACUACAAGCACGUGCCACCAAACCCAGCUACUUUUUGUAUUUUUAGUAGAGACGGCAUUUCACCAUGUUGACCAGGCUAGUCUUGAACUCCUGACCUCAGAUGAUUCACCUUCCUCAGCCUCUCAAAGUGCUGGGAUUACAGGUGUGAGCCACUAUGCCUGGCCAUUCUUUGAUUUCUUUCAUCCGAAUUUUGUAAUUUUCUUCAUAUAGAUCUUGUACAUAUUUUGUGAGAUUUGUACCUGAGUAUUUCAUGUUCAGGGUGCUAAAUUUCAAAUUUCACUUGUUUAUUGCUGGUAUAUUGGAAAGCAGUUGAUUUGGGGUAUUAACUUUGUAUCCUGCAACCUUGCUAUAAUUGCUUAUUAUGCCCAGGAAGCUUUUUUUCUAUCCUUUUUGAUUUUCUAUAGAGACAAUCAUGUCUUUUGCAAACAAAAACAGUUUUAUUUCUUCCUUCCCAAGCUUUAUACCUUUAAUUUCAUUUUCUUGUAUUGCAUUAGCUAGAACUUCCAGCAUGAUGCUGAAAAGCAGUGGUGAUAGAGACAUCCUUGACUUAUUCUCAGUCUUAACAGGAAAGCUUCAAAUUUCUCACCAUUAAAUAUGAUAGCUGUAGGGUUUUUGCAGAUAUUCUUUUUUAAGGAAGUUCCUCUCUAUUUCUAGUUUACUGAGAGUUUUAAAAAUCCAUGAAUAGGUGUUAAAUUUUGUCAGAUGGUUUUUCUGCAUCUAUUGAUAUGACCACAUAAUUUUUUAACCUGUUAAUGUGAUGGAUUACAUUUGAUUGAUUUUUGAAUGUUGAAUCAGCCUUGCAUACUUGGGAUAAAUGCCACUUGGUUGUGGUAUAUACUUCUUUUUAUACAGUGUUGGAUUUAUUUGCCAGUAUGGUUUAGGGUUUUUGUAUCUCUGUUCAUGAGCAAUAUUGGUCUGUAGUUUUCUUUUCUUGCGAUGUCUUUGGACUGGUAGUAGGGUAAUGCCGGCCUCAUGGAAUGAUUUAGGAAGUAUUCUUACUGUUUCUAUCUUCUGAAAGAAACUGUAGAUAACUGUUAUAACUUCUCCUUUGAAUGAUUGGUAGGAUUCACAGGUGAACCCAUCUGGAUCUAGUGCUCUCUGUUUUAGAGGGUUCUUAUUUAUUUAUUUAUUUAAUUUCCAUAAUAGAUAUAGGCCUAUCAGGUUAUCUGUUUCUUCUUAUGUGAGUUUUGGCAGAGUAUUUUUCAAGGAAUUGGUUCAUUUCUUCUAGAUUAUUAAAUUUGUAGGUAUAGAAUUGUUAUAGCAUUCCUUUUUUGUUCUUUUCAUUUUCAUGGGACCAGUAGUGAUGGCUUCUAUUUCAUUUCUGAUGUUAGUAAUUUGUGUCUUCUUUCUUAGUUAACCAGGCUAGAGGUUUACCAAUUCUAUUGAUUUUUUUUUUUUCAAAGAACCAGCUUUUGGAGUUAGGUAUUUCCCUUCCUCCAUGUAGAAGGCUAGAGCUGGCUGAAAAUGGGUAUUUUCCUUUCCCCAGGUUAGUUAGGCUCUGAUAAAACCCCAGCAGGUUAAGCUCUGGUCAAAUAGUUUCUCCUGAGGGCAGACCUUAUUAAGAAGAAUAUAAUGCUCUAGUAUAUAUCAAAAUGGUUCCCUUUCCCCUUUCCUUGCCAGAAGCAGGAGGGAAUUUUUCUCCAAUAUUCACUAUGAGGACCUGAUAGAGGUUCUGCAGGUAAAACUCACAAGAUAGUUCCCUCCUACUCCCAUGACCGGCUCUUCCUGGAAUUUUUAGCUCUCAGAUUUGUCCACAUUAAGCCUCCAGCAAUUUUUUGAUUACACUUUAGGUUUUUCUAUGCUGGCACUGGUUUCCAUGAGGUUUCAGUGAAUGGGUUUCUGUUCCAGUAAGUUUUGAAUCUCUGAAUUUGCCUAUCUUUCCAAUUCAGGGGGGAAGAGGAGUGCCCUGCAUCUCACCUCUUGUACAGAUGUAAGAAGAGUCAUUGAUUUUCAAACAAGUCGUUGGUUUUGAAAGCAGUUUGUUCAGUUUUUUUUUUUUUUUUUACCUUUUGGGAGAGAGUGGCAACUUUUAAGCUUCUUACAUGCCUGACUGGAAACUGAAAAUCUCCUUUAUUUUUGAAAGAUAUUUUUGCUGGAGACAGAAUUCUGGAAGGCCAUAUUUUUCUUUUAGCACUUUAAAGAUGUUCUUCUAUUGUUACGUGAAAGAUUCUCCCCAGGGCCUGAAAGCUUGAAGGGAUGAGUAACUCCCCCCUUCUCAGGCCCAGUCCCAAGGCGCAAGGCUACUUACUUCAGCAGCGUGUGUCAGCAAGAUAGCAGAAGCAGGAAGAGAGCCCACCAGAAGACACCUACCCUGGCCGGAAGACACGUACCCCUAAAGAUCAAGAAAGAGGCCAUCCGGGUACUACCUAGCAGUCACGUCAGACUGGGACACUUCCUGUUUACAGAGGACUAUAAAAUUCCUUCCCCCUCUUCAUUUGGGGCUGACGCCAUUUUAGGCCUCAGCCAGCCCGCACCCAGGGGCUCAUUAAAACAGCGUGUUGCUCCACACCGCCUGGUGUUGUCUGUUGGUGCGCUCUCGAGGUUUGAACGGAUACAAGGACCUUUCAUUAUGACCUCUAUUAUUUCUGACAAGAAGUCCAUUGUUAUUAUUAUCAUUGUCUACGCUCACCAACUCUGAAGUCUAAAAUCCAAAGUCUCAUCUAAACAGCAUCUAAAUCUGAUAUGGGUGAAACUCAAGGUACAACUGCCCGAAGCCAAUCUCUCUCCACUUGUGAACCUACGAAGCCAAACGAGUUAUGUGCUUCCAAGAUCCAGUGGUGGGACAGGCAUAGGAUAGGCAUUCCAAAAGGAAGAAAUAGGAAAGAAGGAAGAA